GGGGGUCAGCGCGGGAAAUCGGGGAAGUUUGCUGACCCCUCUUCUAAUGUAUGAAGUGCAAUGCUCGUUGGAGGCUGAGGAAUUUUCCUACCAUUCUGAGCUUCCUGAAGGUCUGGUGGGUGUGCUUCAAACUCAGUACACCUGUCACCUUGAACACACGACAGGCAUCACCUCCUUAUGAUGUGCCACUCAUAUUUCGCUCCCCGUGGAACAAGUGCUGGUGUGGUGGGGACCGUGUCUGCCUCGCUCCUGACGCCUCCCCAGGGCCAGGUCAGAGGCCAGAGGCCCGCAGCAGAGGGCUCUGCAAACCCUCACGAGUGAGUGAACGCCAUGGUGCCAUCUUUGAUGCGACUGCAAACACUGACUUCCCUCACCUGACUGGCCUGGCUGACCCACAGGGUCUGGGGAUUCUGGCAGCCCCUCCUCCUGCGUGACUCGCCCUCCUGCCCUGGGCCUUCCCUGUCA